rnacentral:rRNA from 1 species
CGCUUUCUUGUAGCAAUACAGGUCGGUGGCGCACGGCGCACGGGUGCGUAACACGUGGGUAAUCUACCCUCGAGUGGGGAAUAACCCGCCGAAAGGCGGGCUAAUACCGCAUGACAUUCCUUGGACUUCGGUCUGGGGAUUCAAAGCCCGCAAGGGCGCUUGAGGAGGAGCCCGCGGCCGAUUAGCUAGUUGGCGGGGUAACGGCCCACCAAGGCGAUGAUCGGUAGCUGGUCUGAGAGGACGGCCGGCCACACUGGAACUGAGACACGGUCCAGACUCCUACGGGAGGCAGCAGUGGGGAAUCUUGCGCAAUGGGCGAAAGCCUGACGCAGCGACGCCGCGUGGGGGACGAAGCUUCUCGGA